rnacentral:rRNA from 1 species
GACAGAGGGUGCAAACGUUGCUCGGAAUUACUGGGCGUAAAGCGCGUGUAGGCGGACCUGCAAGUCGGACGUGAAAGCCCUGGGCUCAACCCAGGAACUGCAUCCGAAACUGCGGGCCUGGAGUGGUGGAGAGGGAAGCAGAAUUCCUGGUGUAGAGGUGAAAUUCGUAGAUAUUGGGAAGAACACCGAUGGCGAAGGCAGCCAUCUGGACCGACACUGACGCUGAGGCGCGAAAGCGUGGGGAGCAAACAGG